rnacentral:rRNA from 1 species
CUGGAAUUGCUAGUAAUCACAGGUCAGCAUACUGUGGUGAAUACGUUCCCGGGCCUUGUACACACCGCCCGUCACACCAUGAGAGUUGAGAAUACCCGAAGCCCAUGUCAAAGUGGUCGAAGGUAGGCUUGAUGAUUGGGGUGAAGUCGUAACAAGGUAGC